rnacentral:rRNA from 1 species
GAUGAACGAUGGCGGCAGGCCUAACACAUGCAAGUAGAGCGGAGCGGGGGACGGGUGAGUAAUGCCUAGGAAUUUGUCUGGGAGUGGGGGAUAACGUCCGGAAACGGGCGCUAAUACCGCAUACUAUCAGAUGAGCCUAGGUCGGAUUAGCUAGUUGGUGGGGUAAAGGCCUACCAAGUCGACGAUCCGUAACUGGUCUGUGAGGAUGAUCAGUCACACUGGAACUGAGACACGUUCCAGACUCCUACGGGAGGCAGCAGUGGGGAAUAUUGGACAAUUGGCGAAAUCCUGCUCCAGCCAUGCCGCGUGUGUGAAGAAGGUCUUCGGAUUGUAAAGCACUUUAAGUUGGGAGGCGUUACCAACAGAAUAAGCACCGGCUAACUUCGUGCCAGCAGCCGCGGUAAUUC